AGGCCUCUCCUGGCCCAGCUGUGGCCUCACAUUGGCCUCCCCAGGCCACGUUUCCGCUUGCCUCGCGGCAGCCUUGGCAAGCCCAGCUCCUGCCUGCCGAGGGCCUCUUAAAGAGGCUCAUCUCGUGCCUCGCCGUGGCCUCCCCAGGCCAUGCUCCCACCUUUCGGCAGCCUCUGCAGGCCCAGCUCCUGUGUCCCGAUGGCCUUUUUUUGCCUGGCUUUGCCUCACCGCGGCCUCUUGAGGCGCAGCUUUUCCCUUCUGGCGACAUCUCCAGGCCCAGAACUUCCUCAAAUCGGCCUCCCCCGGCCCAGUUGCUGCCUGCCGGCCUCCUCUCCGGGCCCAGCUAUUUGCUCAUGGCUGCGCCCACAGGCCCAGCUCCUGCCUCCAAACAGCCUCCUUUGACUCGGCUCCUGCCCAGCUCCUGGCAACCUACAUCGGCCCAAAGCCUGCUCCAGUCCAGCUCUCCAGGCCCGCCUCUUGCCUCGCAGCGGCCUUUCCAGGCCCAGCUCUCGCCUCGCGGCAGCCUUCCACGACCCCACUCGUGCCGGCCUUCCACGACCCCCCUCGUGCCGGCCUCCGGGCAGCCUCCACAAGCCCAGCUCCUGCCUCAUGCUGGUCCCUGUAGGCCCAGCUUGUGCCUUGCGGUGGCCUCUCCAGACCCAGCUCCCGCCCACCCCGAUGGUGUCUCCCGGCCCAAAGCUCCCUUACUGAACGAUGACCCCUCUAGACCCAGCUCCUGCCUGCUGCUGAUGGCCUCUGCGGGCCCACCCAAAGCAUCCCGAAGUUGGCUUCACCAGGCCCAGCUCCUGCCUGUUGUAGGCCCCUAGGGGCACGGCCUCUGCCCCACACCAGCCCCCCUGGAACCAGCUCUUGCCUCAUCCUAGCCGCAUCAGGCCAAGCUCCUGCCUUUUGGUGGUCUAUCCAUGCCUGGCUUUUGACUGCCGGCAUCCUUUCCAGGCCCAGAACUGUUUCCAGUGGCCCUCUCCAGGCCCGGCUCUCCAUCCGGGCCGCGUCCAGCGGUCCCAACCCCUGCCUCACGACAACCACGUUUGGCCCAGCUCCUGGUAGCCUUUGUAGGCCCCAGGCUCCUCGAAGUGAGGCCUCCCAGGCCCCGCCUUCGGCUCCCUGGUGGCCUGGAGAAGCCCAGCUCCUGCCUGACAGCGGUCUCUCCGGGCCCCGCUCUUGCCUCGUGUCGGCCUCCCCGGGCCACGUUGCCACCUGCCUCGCGGCAGCCCAGACAGGCCCGGCUCCUGCCUCCCAUCGGCCUUUUUGGGCUCAUCUCGUGCCUCACCGCGGCCUCCCCUAGGCCAGGCUCCUGCCUUUCGGUGGCCUCCGCAGGCCUGGCUCCUGCAUCCCGAUGGCCUCCUUAGGCCCGGCUCGUCCCUCUGAAAGGCCUCUUUCAGAGGCCUGGCUUUUCCCUCGUGGCGGCCUCUACAGGCCCAAGUGGGCAAGCCACCGCGACGGCCCGGUGGCUACCUCUCGGCCUCCUCUCCAGGCCCAGCGCUCUCUCGCGGCUGCACCUCCAGGCCCAACCCCCACCUGCAGACAGCCGCUUCUGACUCGGUUUGUGCCCAGAUCCCGGCGGCCUUCGUAGGCCCGAAACCUCCUCCAGCCCAGCUCUCCAGGCCCACCAGUGGCCUCGCAGCAGCCUCCCCGGGCCCAGCUCUUGCCUCACGGCGGCCUUCCCCGUCCGUGUUCCUGCCGGCCUCCCGGCGGCCUCGACAAGCCCAGCGCCUGCCUCACACUGGGCUCUUGAGGCCCAGCUGACGCCUCACGGUGGCCUCUCCAGGCCCAGCUGCCGCCCGCCCCAACAGCAUCUCCUGGCCCAAGGCUAUUUCAAGUGGGCCCCUCCAGGGCCCAGCUGCUGCACCCCAACCAAUGGCCUGUGCAAACCCAAAGCGUCUUGAAGUUGGCCUCGCCAGGCCCAGCUCCUGCCUGUCGUAGGCCUCUGGACUUGAGGCACGGCCUCUGCCUCCUCACAGUGGACCCCCGCCAGGCCCAGCUCUUGCCUCAGCGUGGCCGCCUCAGGCCAGGCUUGUGUUCUGCCUGUGGGCAGCCUCCACGGGCCCAGCUCUCGCCUCUGGCCAUCCUCUCCAGGCCCAGAAGUGUUUCCAGCCAGCCUCUCCAGGCCCAGAACUGUUUCCAGCCAGCCUCUCCAGGCCCAGCUCUCCCUCCCGGCUGCGCCUGCCGGCCCAGCUCCUGCCUCGCAACAGCCACGUUCGGCUCAGCUCCUGCCCAGCUCCUGGCAGCCUUUGUAGGCCCCAGGCUCCUCGAAGUGAGGCCUCUCAGGCCCCACCUUCGGCUCCCCGGCGGCCUGGAGAGGCGCAGCUCCUCGUGACAGCGGCCUCUCCGGGCCCGGCUCGUGCCUCACGUCGGUCUCCCCAGGCCACGUUGCCACCUGCCUCGCGGCAGCCCCGACAGACCUGGCUCUUGCCUCCCGACGGCCUCUUUGGGCUCAUCUCGUGCCUCACCGUGACCUCCCCCAGGCCAGGCUCCUGCUUUUUGGCGGCCUCCGCAGGCCCGGCUCCUGCAUCCCGAUGACCUCUUUAGGCCUGGCUCAUCCCUCUGAACGGCCUCUUUCAGAGGCCCGGCUUUUCCCUCGUGGCAGCCUCUGCAGGCCCAAGUUGGCAAGCCACCACCACGGCCCGGUGGCUGCCUCCCAGCCUACUCUCCAGGCCCAGCACUCUCUCGCGGCUGCGCCUCCAUGCCCAGCCCCAGCCUGCAGACAGCUGCUUCUGACUCGGCUCGUGCCCAGAUCCCGGCAGCAUUCGUACGACCAAAACCUCCUCCAGCCCAGCUCUCCAGGCCCACCUGUGGCCUCGCAGUGGCCUCCCCGGGGCCAGAUCUUGCCUCACGGUGGCCUUCCCCGGCCGUGUUCCUGCCAGCCUCCCAGCGGCCUCGACAAGCCCAUCGCAUGCCUCUCACUGGGCUCUGGAGGUCCAGCUCAAGCCUCACGGUGGCCUCUCCAGGCCCAGCUCCCGCCCGCCCCGACGGCGUCUCCCGGCCAAGGGUUUCUCAAGUGGGCCCCUCCAGGGCCCAGCUGCUGCCCCCCGGCCGAUGGCCUGUGCGGGCCCAAAGUGUCCUGAAGUCGGCCUCGCCAGGCCCAGCUCCUGCCUGUCGUAGGCCCCUGGACUUGAGGCACGGCCUCUGCCUCCUCACAGUGGACCCCCACCAGGCCCAGCUCUUGCCUCAGCAUGGCCGCCUCAGGCCAGGCUCGUGUUCUGCCUGUGGGCAGCCUCCACGGGCCCGGCUCUCGCCUCUGGCCAUCCUCUCCAGGCCCAGAAGUGUUUCCAGCCAGCCUCUCCAGGCCCAGCUCUCCUUGCCGGCUGCGCCUGCCGGCCCAGCUCCUGCCUCGCAACAGCCACGUUCGGCCCAGCUCCUGCCCAGCUCCUGGCAGCCUUUGUAGGCCCCAGGCUCCUCGAAGUGAGGCCUCUCAGGCCCCGCCUUCGGCUCCCUGGCGGCCUGAAGAGUCCCAGCCACUGCCUGACAGCGGUU
rnacentral:lncRNA from 1 species